rnacentral:rRNA from 1 species
AUUGAACGCUGGCGGCAUGCCUUACACAUGCAAGUCGAACGGUGACGCGGGGCAACCUGGCGACGAGUGGCGAACGGGUGAGUAAUGUAUCGGAACGUGCCCAGUUGUGGGGGAUAACUGCUCGAAAGAGCAGCUAAUACCGCAUACGACCUGAGGGUGAAAGCGGGGGAUCGCAAGACCUCGCGCAAUUGGAGCGGCCGAUAUCAGAUUAGGUAGUUGGUGGGGUAAAGGCUCACCAAGCCGACGAUCUGUAGCUGGUCUGAGAGGACGACCAGCCACACUGGGACUGAGACACGGCCCAGACUCCUACGGGAGGCAGCAGUGGGGAAUUUUGGACAAUGGACGCAAGUCUGAUCCAGCCAUGCCGCGUGCGGGAAGAAGGCCUUCGGGUUGUAAACCGCUUUUGUCAGGGAAGAAAAGGCUCCUUCUAAUAUAGGGGGCUCAUGACGGUACCUGAAGAAUAAGCACCGGCUAACUACGUGCCAGCAGCCGCGGUAACAC